rnacentral:rRNA from 1 species
CCUACGGGAGGCAGCAGUGGGGAAUAUUGCGCAAUGGGCGAAAGCCUGAUGCAGCGACGCCGCGUGAGGGAUGAAGGUCUUCGGAUCGUAAACCUCUGUCAGCAGGGAAGAACGGUCACUGUGCUAAUCAGCAGUGAAUUGACGGUACCUGCAAAGGAAGCACCGGCUAACUCCGUGCCAGCAGCCGCGGUAAUACGUAGGGUGCGAGCGUUAAUAGGAUUUACUGGGCGUAAAGCACUCGUAGGCGGUAUGUCAAGUCAAGGUUGAAAUCCCCGCGCUCAACGUGGGAACUGCCUUUGAAACUGGCAAACUGGAGUGUGUGAGAGGAGAGUGGAAUUCGAGGUGUAGGAGUGAAAUCCGUAGAUAUCAGGAGGAACAUCAGUUGCGAAGGCGACUAUCUGGCACAUAACUGACGCUGAGGAGCGAAAGCGUGGGUAGCAAACAGGAUUAGAUACCCGAGUAGUC